rnacentral:rRNA from 1 species
AUGAAUAAAUUUUUUACCUCAUUAUAAAUAAAUAAUAAAAUUUUAAACAGGCAUUCAACGGAUACCUUGCUAAUUAAAAAAAAGGGGACGUUUAAAGCGAGAUGUAAAUGUAAAAUAAUAAUAAUUUUUAAAUAUUUACGUAUCCCGGGGAAAACUUAUGUAGUUGAAAUUACAUAAUAAAUUUAGUGAAUUGAAUCAUCUUAGUAGCUAAAAAUAAAAAAUAAAAAUGAUUUUAUUAGUAGUGGCGAACGAAUAUAAAAUAGCUAAAAAUAAACUAGUUUACUUUGGGUUGGAGGAAUAGUUUGAAAAAAUUAACGAAAAAAGUUAUAGUCUUGUAUUUUAGUCCAGUAAAUUUAGAUUUCGAGUAAGGCAAAUUGAAAUUUGCUUGAAUAUUAGGGAACCAUUCCUAAAAGUUAAAGAGUUUUAGUUAAGCGAUAGUGUAUAAGUACUGUGAAGGAAAGGUGAAAAGUAAUUCGAAUAGAAUGGUGAAAUAGAUAUUGAAAUUGGGUGCCUAAUAGCAGUCUAAGCAUUCUUUGUAAAAAUGUUAAGGUGUACCUUUUGCAUAAUGGGUCAGUGAGUUAAUUGGUUUAGCAAAAUAAAAAUAUUUUAUAAGAAUAUACCGUUGUAAGUAAUUUAACUAUAGUUAAAUCAAUUAGACCCGAAACCAAGUGAUCUAACCAUGGGCAGGUUGAAGCUGAUUAAAGGUCAAUGGAGGACCGAACCCUUGUAUGUGGAAAUAUACUGGGAUGACCUGUGGUUAGGGGUGAAAGGCUAAUCAAACUUGGAGAUAGCUGGUUUUCUACGAAAUUUAUUUAAGUAAAGCUUAAUUUUGUUUAUGUUUAUUAAAGGUAGAGUACUACAGUGAAACCAUAAGGUUCAAGUAAACUUCGAAUAUUAAUAAAAUAAGAAUUAAAGGCAGAUAAUUGGCGAUAAGGUUAAUUUAUCAAGAGGGAAAGAGCCCAGAUUAUAAGUUAAGGUUUCUAAAUAUAAUUAAGUUUAAAAGAAUAUUUUAUUACUAAAACAAAUUGGGGGUAAGCUUAGAAGCAGCAAUCCCUUAAAGAAAGCGUAACAGCUCACAAUUGAUAGUAAUCUCAGUUCAAAAAUGUAACGAAAAUUAAAUUAUAUACCGAAACUAUAAAAUUUAAAUAUAAAUUUAAAUUGGUAGUAGAACGCCUUAUAGUAAAUUAGUAUAAUUGAAAAAUUAAAUUAUUAAGGUUGAAUAUACUGGCAUAAGUAGCGAAAAUAAUGUUUUAGAAACAUUAUCAUCUAAAUAUCUAAAGUUUCUAAUGUAAAGAUAAACUGCAUUAGGUUAAUCGGCCCCUAAGAUGACUACGAAAGUAAUAAUUUAUGGGAAAAUAAAUUUAUAUUUUUAUUUUAUUAUUAAUAGGCGACAAAUGAUUAAGUUUAAAGGUAAUUACGCAUAUUUGCCUUUAUAAUAAUUAUUUCUAGAAAUAGCAUUAAUAAAAAAAGCGUGUAUUUGUUUAAUUAUAAAUAUUUACGUUUUAAAAGACCGUACUAAAACCAACACAGGUGGAUUAGUAGAGCAUACUAAGAUGGUUGAUAUAAUAAUAUCGAAGGAACUCGGCAAAAUGACUCUGUAACUUCGGGAGAAAGAGUACUUUUUUUAAUAUUUCGUAAUGAUUUGUUAAGAUAAAGUGUAACAGAAUAGGAGAUGGCGACUGUUUAUCAAAAACAUAGGACUUUGCAAAAUUUUUUAAUGAUGUAUAAGGUCUGACGCCUGCCCAGUGCUAUAAAGGUAAUAAAGAUUGUUUUAAAAUUUUUUAUUUUAAAGCUUUUAAUUGAAUUAGUAGUAAACGGCAGCUGUAAAUAUAACGGUUCUAAGGUAGCGAAAUUCCUUGUCGAGUAAGUUUCGACCUUGCAUGAAUGGCGUAACGACUAUCUCACUGUCUCCGGUAUUAUAUUAGCGAAAUUGAAUUUUCUGUGCAGAUGCAGAGUAUUAGCGGCUAGACGAAAAGACCCUAUGCACCUUUACUGCAUUUAUACUUUGUUUGUUUAUUUUAAGUUUAUAGGAUAUAAAUUAAUCGUUUGUAGUAAUAUAAAUAAAUCUUGUUACAUUUUUGUAAUAACUUUUUAGGUGAUCUUGGAAUAGUUUAAUCUUAAAAUAAAAAACUUAAUAUUUAAGAUAUAGUAUAUUUGGUAGUUUCUCUGGGGCGGAGACCUCACAAAAAGUAACUGAGGUGUACAAAGGCAAUUAAAACUUUUUUAAGUUAGGGCGCGCAAUGGCUAAAAAUUGCUUAACUGUAAGACUAACAAGUCAAGCAGAGAUUAUUUUUAAGUCGGUCAUAGUGAUCCAAUAUUUUUGUAUGGAAAAAAUAUUGCUCAACGGAUAAAAGGUACGCUAGGGAUAACAGGCUUAUGACUCCUGAGAGAAGAUAUCGACGGGGUCGUUUGGCACCUCGAUGUCGAUUGGUCACAUCCUGGUUAGGAAGAAGGUUCCAAGGGUAAGGCUGUUCGCCUUUUAAAGUGGCACCUGAAUUGGGUUCAGAACGUCGUGAGACAGUUCGGUUUCUAUCUACCGUUAACGUAUUAAAAUUGAAGGGAUCUAAUCCUAGUACGAAAGGACUGGAAAAGGGAUAUCACUGGUGAAUUGGUUGUAAUUGAGUUUGCAUUGUCAAGUAGCUAAAUAUUAAAAAUAUAAUUAUUGAAAUCAACUCAAAUAAGAAAAUUACCCUGAGAAUAUUUUAACUUGGUUGACUGUGAAAGACUAUCACGUUGUUAAAUAAUAUGUGUAAGCGUUGUGAAACGUUGAGCUAUAUUAUAUUAAGUGUCAACCCAAAUUUUAUUAUUUAUUUAUAUUUUUAUAGCUUUAAUUUUACAUAUAAUAA